rnacentral:rRNA from 1 species
GAUUCCCCGAAAUUAAGCGAGCUACUCCAGAGCAACUAACAGAACCAACCCGCCCCUGUUGCAAAAGGGUGGGAAGACUUUAGAGUAGAAGUGACACACCUAUCGAGCUUAGAGAUAGCUGGUUAUUCAAGAAAAGGAUUUUAGUCCAUUUUUAAGUUUUUUGAGGACCAUUUAAACCCCCAAUAAAUUUAAAAGUUAUUCAAAUAAGGGACAGCCUAUUUGAAAAAGGGCACAACCUACAAUUUAGGGUAACCCCCCCCCCCCCCGUGGCCAAGUCAGCCUAAAAGCAGCUAACUUCCAAAAAGCGUCCAAGCUUCACCACAAACCCCUUAUUAAUUCCACAAUUAAUCCGUAACCCACAACCGCUACCGAAUAAUCUCAUACUAUAUGAGAACUAUUAUGCUAGAACUAGUAACAAGAAGAAGAACUUCUCCAAAAUGUAAACGUAAGCCAAAAUGAACACCCACCGGCAUUUACCGCCAAACAGUAUUAACAUUGCAAGAAAAUUAUACUACAACUGACGUUAACCUUACACUAGAACAUUCCCAGAAAGAU